rnacentral:rRNA from 1 species
AUUGAACGCUGGCGGCAUGCUUUACACAUGCAAGUCGAGCGGCAGCGCGGGGGCAACCCUGGCGGCGAGCGGCGAACGGGUGAGUAAUGCAUCGGAACGUGUCCCGUAGUGGGGGAUAACCCGGCGAAAGCCGGGCUAAUACCGCAUAUGCUCUACGGAGGAAAGGGGGGGAUCCGCAAGGACCUCUCGCUAUGGGAGCGGCCGAUGUCCGAUUAGCUUGUUGGUGGGGUAAUGGCUUACCAAGGCGACGAUCGGUAGCUGGUCUGAGAGGAUGAUCAGCCACACUGGGACUGAGACACGGCCCAGACUCCUACGGGAGGCAGCAGUGGGGAAUUUUGGACAAUGGGGGCAACCCUGAUCCAGCCAUGCCGCGUGCGGGAAGAAGGCCUUCGGGUUGUAAACCGCUUUUAGUCGGGAAGAAAAGGCGCGGCCUAAUACGUCGCGUUCUUGACGGUACCGGCGGAAUAAGCACCGGCUAACUACGUG